rnacentral:rRNA from 1 species
AUGGAGGAGCAUACAUUGACCAAGGUAUUCGGUAGAAGCCGUUUGGGAGUACCUACUGCCAUUGGAAGAAUCAAAAGCGGCACUUUCAACCAUAUUGAUGAGCGUGAGAUCGCUACAUUGGCUGUCUUGGGAAAAUUUGUCCGAGCCAAAGAUCAAAGGGGGUUUGCCCUUCCUAGACCCUCAACUAUUAAACUUUGCCAUGUUGGGCAAACAAGGAUGGUGUCUAUUAACACAACCAACACAUUAUGCGCCCGUGUACUGAAAGGGAAGUACUACCAGCAUACCGAUUUCCUACGAGCAAUGGUCCCUACUCGUGCAUCUUUGAUGUGGUGGGCGACUAUGGCUGUUACGAAAGCAUUGGACAUUGGUCUGAUUCACAGGGUUGGAGAUGGGUCAACGAUUUCCACAUUGAAUGACCAAUGCAUCCCACACACAGUGACAAUGAAACCCAUCGGCCACAUGGGUACAACACCUCUGUCAAAGGUUUCAGACCUGGUUGAUGUUCACACAGGUUUGAGUGUUCUGGUUGAGAGUACUUCAGAGAAUUCUACCAGACUCCAUGACCCUAAAAUGUUCUCUGACAAUGCCGGAUGCAAGAUCAUUACCAUCAUGCACUCUAUUUGGUCCUCAUGCAAUAGGUGGACUCAAGAUCAAGAUGGAUAUGAACCAGUGAUGGUAAUCAAAUGGGUACAUGAAACUCUCUCCCUCCUAGAGAUCCUGGGGCACCCGACGCAGCUGGCGGCUGGCCAAGUUUGGAGAACACCGGAGGCAGGCUGGAUAAAGAUCAACAACGAUGGAUCGUGCUAG